rfam:Pseudomonas agarici strain NCPPB 2472 genome.
AUUCUGUACACAUGUAUCGCUGACGUCGUCAGCAACAUGCCCAAGUAGUCUGGAUCCGCAAGACUACGAUGCGGUUUACCGCAUUGAUCCCUCCCAAGAUCGCCAUAGCUUCCGGUAGCGCGAUCAAUCGACUUAGUCGAUGGAAGC